rnacentral:rRNA from 1 species
UACAGAGGUCUCAAGCGUUGUUCGGAUUCAUUGGGCGUAAAGGGUGCGUAGGCGGCGCGGUAAGUCGGGUGUGAAAUCUCGGAGCUUAACUCCGAAACUGCAUUCGAUACUGCUGUGCUUGAGGACUGGAGAGGAGACUGGAAUUUACGGUGUAGCGGUGAAAUGCGUAGAUAUCGUAAGGAAGACCAGUGGCGAAGGCGGGUCUCUGGACAGUUCCUGACGCUGAGGCACGAAGGGCAGGGGAGCAAACGGG